UUGUAAAAAAUUAAAAAAAUUAAAAAAAUAAAAAAAAAGCGCCUUUGAAAAAAACCCGAUCCUUCCAUAAGCGGCUCAUCUUUCACCGGGGCUGGAGCAGCGUAAACAUGACCGCAUGAGGCUCCAAGUUUAUGUUUUCUCAAUGACUUCCAGAUCAAAUUUGCUGUGUUUACAAGAUGGAGACACUUUUUCUAACCGCCAGGACUGCAAAUUCAGAUGGAGGGGGGUAGGUGGGGGCGAUGCCCCAGCUGGGAUGUCUCUGCUUCGAGUUAUUCUUGUCUCCGACAAUGUCUCCACGAAUGCCCCAGCAGGGUGAACGCCUAGCCCGGCAGCUGCCUGUGGACACUGGCUUUUCAUACUCAAAUUGAACCAAGAUGCCUCCAGAUUAUUUAUUAUUAUUUUAAACGAUAAGCCCCAGGCUCAGAGGUGGGAUCCUGACCACAGAGGGCAGAGAGCUCUGAGGGCUUUUAAUCAAAUGACAUGCCUUGACCUGGAUCUGGAGGCGUUUUCAUAGUUCUGGCUCUGAUGGCGAUUGCUAUGUGACCUUGAGACAGUCACUUCCUCUCUCUGGACCACAGCUGCCUCGUUUGGAAAAUGAAGAGGUUGAACCUUACAGCCUCUAAGAACGAAGGUUAACCCUCUCACCUCAGAAACUGAUCAUCGCUGUCAGUGAGAAGGAGGGCCACGGUGGAAGGAAGAAGGGACACAGCAUGAGGGGAGCAAGCAUGGUGUGACCUUGGCUAUGUGGUUACACCAGGGACUACCUCAUGCAAACCAGAAGCUCUGCUGGACCAAAUGGUAUUGUGAUGAAUCACCUGAGCUUUGACAGAAGACAGAUCUUGGGUCAAGCCUGUGCUCAUCCACUUCCUAGCAGAAUGACUUUGCUGGAGCUACCUGAUCUCUCUGAACCCCCAUGUCCUUGUCUGUAAAAUAAGGAUAGUAAUGAUACCCACAUCACAGGGUUGUUGCAGUUGGUCCAUAGUAAGUCCUCCAUUAAAGUUAGCUGUUAUCGGGGCUCCUGGGUGGCGCAGUCGGUUAAGCGUCCGACUUCAGCCAGGUCACGAUCUCGCGGUCCGUGAGUUCGAGCCCUGCGUCGGGCUCUGGGCUGAUGGCUCAGAGCCUGGAGCCUGUU